GCACCGGUCGUAUAGUGGCUAGGUAUUUAGUACCACACAAAUUAUCUCGGCCUUCCAAGCCGAUAACCCGGGUUCGAAUCCCGGCCGGUGCA
rnacentral:tRNA from 1 species